rnacentral:rRNA from 1 species
UACGUAGGGGCCUAGCGUUGUCCGGAAUUAUUGGGCGUAAAGAGCUCGUAGGCGGUUCGGCAAGUCGGAUGUGAAAUCUCCACGCUUAACGUGGAGGGGCCAUUCGAAACUGCUGUGACUCGAGUCCGGUAGGGGAGACUGGAAUUCCUGGUGUAGCGGUGAAAUGCGUAGAGAUCGGGCGGAACACCAGCGGCGAAGGCGGCAUCCUGGCCCUUACCUGACGCUGAGGCGCGAAGCGUGGGGAGCAAACAGGAUUAGAAACCC